GGGAAUGUAGCUCAGAUGUACAGCACUUACCUAGCAGGCAUGCAACCCUGGGUUCAAUUCCCAGCACCA
rnacentral:tRNA from 1 species